UACGUAGGGGGCAAGCGUUGUCCGGAUUUAUUGGGCGUAAAGGGCGCGUAGGCGGCGGGGUAAGUCGGGUGUGAAAUCUCAGAGCUCAACUCUGAAAUGGCACUUGAUACUGCUCUGCUAGAGGACUGGAGAGGAGAUUGGAAUUCACGGUGUAGCAGUGAAAUGCGUAGAUAUCGUGAGGAAGACCGGUGGCGAAGGCGGAUCUCUGGACAGUUCCUGACGCUGAGGCGCGAAGGCCAGGGGAGCAAACAGG
rnacentral:rRNA from 1 species